UAAAAAAUGGAGUAACUUAAUUCUGGAACGAUCCUCUCAUUUCUUUAUACAUUCCAAUAAAUUUACAUUCAUUUCUUAUUCAUCACAGGUUCACAGAUGACAGAAUAUAUAAAAGGAUUGACGACACCAACGCGGCAUAUAAGGGCAGAACAGCUGAUCCGAAUGUAUGCUACGUUCAUGGAUCUAUUGACCCUUGGAAAGCAUUAGGUAUUACGGCUGACCAGGGAGCUAUUAUUAUAGAGGGUACGUCUCAUUGUGCAGACAUGAAUACUCCGUUUUCUACUGAUCUUGACUCUCUUAAAGCUGGCAGGGAUAAAAUCAGCCAGUUUUUGGACAACGUUAUGCAACAAUGAAAGGAUUAUUGCAGAUUCCUGACAUUUCAAUAUAGAUUUCAUCACUAAGGUUCAUCAAAUAGGAAUUAUCUCAAUGCCAUUGAAUGGAUAGAGUGAAGCAAUUCAAUGAUGAAAAGUGUAUUAUUUUUGUUCCACUACUUGAUUCAUUCUUGAUUUAAAUAAACCGAUUAAUGAAUAGUA